UGCUGGUCCAAGUGCAGUGGUAUUUACAACUAAUUGAUCGCAACUAGUUAUAGGUUCUUUGUUUCUUCUUCAUUUUCACUGUUGCACUUGACUAGCUUAAA
ensembl:Y_RNA Y_RNA Y RNA